rnacentral:tRNA from 2 species
GCUCUCUUGGCGAGGUUGGUAUACACGUUAGAUUGAGAUUCUAAUCCGGAAACGGGUGCAAGUUCAAGUCUUGUCGAGAGCACCA